AUACGGAGGGUGCAAGCGUUAAUCGGAAUUACUGGGCGUAAAGCGCGCGUAGGCGGUUUGAUAAGUCGGAUGUGAAAUCCCCGGGCUCAACCUGGGAAUUGCAUUCGAUACUGUCAGGCUAGAGUGUGGUAGAGGGAAGUGGAAUUUCCGGUGUAGCGGUGAAAUGCGUAGAUAUCGGAAGGAACACCAGUGGCGAAGGCGGCUUCCUGGACCAACACUGACGCUGAGGUGCGAAAGCGUGGGGAGCAAACAGGAUUAGAUACCCGAGUAGUCC
rnacentral:rRNA from 1 species